UACGUAGGGUGCAAGCGUUGUCCGGAAUUAUUGGGCGUAAAGAGCUCGUAGGCGGUCUGUCACGUCGGACGUGAAAAUCCAGGGCUCAACCCUGGACCUGCGUUCGAUACGGGCAGACUAGAGUUCGGUAGGGGAGACUGGAAUUCCUGGUGUAGCGGUGAAAUGCGUAGAUAUCUGGAGGAACACCGGUGGCGAAGGCGGCAUCCUGGACCGAUACUGACGCUGAGGAGCGAAAGCCAGGGGAGCAAACGGG
rnacentral:rRNA from 1 species